rnacentral:rRNA from 1 species
CCUACGGGAGGCAGCAGUGGGGAUUAUGCACCAAUGGGGGAAACCCUGGUCCAGCAACGCCCCGGGAGGAAAGAGGGCCUUCGGGUGCAAAACCUCUUUCUUAAGGGAGGAGGCUUGCCGGUACCUUAGGUGGAAGCCCCGGCUACUUCCGUGCCAGCGGCCGCGGUAAUACGUAGGGGGCGGGCGUUACCCGGAAUACCUGGGGGGAAAGGGUGCGAAGGCGGCCGAUUAGGCCAGGGGUGAAAGGCAACGGCUCAACCGUAGUAAGCCCUUGGAACUGAUUGGCUUGAGUGCAGGAGAGGAGAGUGGAAUUCCUAGUGUAGCGGUGAAAUGCGUAGAUAUUAGGAGGAACACCAGUGGCGAAGGCGACUCUCUGGACUGUAACUGACGCUGAGGCACGAAAGCGUGGGGAGCAAACAGGAUUAGAUACCCGUGUAGUC